AUCCCUGUAGCACAAUGGAUAGCGUGUUGGACGUAGAAUCCAAAGGUCAUGGGUUCAAAUCCCACCUGGGAUG